GUUCGAGGGAGUCGAGGAUGUCGUGGAGGAGGAGAGGAGGAUGGAGAGGGAGGAAAGGGAGAGGAGCAAGAAGAAGGAGUUUGUGGCCCACGUGCCGCUCCCGGAUGAGAAGGAGAUCAAGAGGAUGGUCCUUGAGAAGAAGACGGAGAUGCUGGGCAUGUACACGAGCGAUCUGCUGUUGGAGGAGCAGCUCGAGGCCAAGGCCAUGCUCAUUGUUCAGAGGCCCCGGUCCAGGUCCAGGUCCAGCUGUCCCUCAAGAAAUAAGCGAAUAAAAAAAUUAGUGGUGUCGGCGUCUAUAACGUUAUCUUCUCGAGAGAAGAUAUCCACACAUUGGACGGCUCCAUGUGCCUGCGUCUUAAACGAGAAAAGCCUUAGCCUGUGGAGGCUGUGUUUGUGAAUCUUAGACAUCUGCGGCCGGUGGACCCAGUCUUUUGGAACUCAACAUUCAGUAGCUCUACCACAUGAUCCUGAAGCCCUUGGAGUCAUCUUUGGUCCACAAAAGUUUCUUUAUGGUUGGAGAACCAUGGCUGCUUUGUUCCUCCGGCCACCGUUUUCUUGCCACGAUGUUGCACGGGUGAGGCACUUGGAGGUGAACCGAUCCGCCCAACUGGGAAUCAAGAGUCUCAUAUGCAGAGAAUACCCAUCAGGGAAGAGACCAAAGUUAGCCUUUGCUUCAGCAGCAACAGCACCAGCUGCUGGACUACUGGAUGAUGCCAAUGGCAAACAAGGGGUAGACAAACAACUCCAAGAAGAUUACAAGACAACUGAAGAAAUCAGAUCGGCACUUUACCAGAAAUUAGAUGGUAUUAACAGAGGGAUUUUUGGAGUCACAUCUGCAAAGAAAUUGGAGAUUGAACGCCUGGUGGAGCUACUGGAGUCCCAAAACCCCACCCCUCAGCCAACUGAUCAUCUGUUAGAUAAGGUGGAUGGAUGCUGGAAGCUUGUUUACAGCACAAUUACAAUACUCGGAGCUAAGAGAACAAAACUUGGAUUGCGCGACUUCAUCACUCUUGAUGACUUUAUCCAGAUAAUUGAUGUUGCAAAGGAAAAGGCAGUCAAUGUGAUUAAGUUUAAUGUGAGGGCAUUCAAGUUGCUGACAGGGCAGCUGACAAUUGAGGCAUCCUACAAGAUUGUGUCCAAAACUAGAGUUGACAUUAAACUUGAGAAUUCAAGCAUUACUCCGGAUCAGCUGAUGAAUCUUUUUCAGAAGAAUUAUGAUCUUCUCCUUGCCAUUUUCAAUCCAGAGGGUUGGCUGGAAAUAACAUAUGUUGAUGACACCAUGCGGAUUGGGAGGGACGAUAAAGGCAACAUUUUCAUCUUGGAGAGGACAGAGCAGGCAAAAGACUAAGAUUGUGAACAUUGAGCUCAGUUGCACUUCAUCCAUGAUAGAACAAUACCAAAGCAUCGCAGAGGAAUAUUUACAAGGGAAGAAUGGAAUAGAAAGAUGUAGUCUUGGGCAUGGUGCUGAAUAAUCUUGGUGUCUGACUCCAGCAUUUGUUCCAAAGAUGAAGUAACCAAGGUGGAUGGUGUUUCAAUAGCUAUUUCCUUCUCCACUGAGUAUUGACCUGUUCUAUGAUAUGUAGUCCAAGUAUUUCCAUACAACACAUACAUCAAUCUAAAGCAGAUCAUGAAGGGCCUAAAAUUUAACACUUUAAGCAUUAAUUUGGAUCAACCUUGUUAGGAUUAGUUUCUAACUGGAUUCAGUUUAAGCAAUAUGAAAACAACUGGAAUGUUUCAUAAACAUGGAGCAAAAGUAUUUCUAUACAAUCACACACAUAUACCUAUAGCACAUCAUGGAAUCACACACAUAUACCUAUAGCACAUCAUGGACCUAGACAUCAACUAUUAAAGCACUAGUUUGGACCAACCUUGUCGGGACUAUUGUCUAACUGUGCUAAGUUUAAACAAUCUUAAAAUGGCUGGAACAUCUCAUAAACUUGAUCCUGGACCCAUGACAUUUAGUUGAUUGACAAAGUUCAUUGAAAAGAAGGACAACAAAGAUAAGAAUGGUAGAAAACAUCAAUAAAACUAAAGAAAAGGGAUCAGAGUAGGUUUUACAAAGAUCGAUACCAGUGACUAUUCCAAUACACUACUAUGAACAGUUAUUUCUCAUGACAAAGUCAGCUUCACAAAGUCAAAAAUUUAUCGAGGCAAAAAAACUUUGGAAACAAAAGUUGAUUUUCCUUACCCUAACAAUUUCUUCAUAAGUUUCAUCAUCAAUCUCUACAGUAGUAAUUAUUUCUUCAACAUCCCCAAGUAUCAUAUUCAGGUGCUGAUCAUAAGCCUGAAAACAGAGGACAAAUCAAUGUCUGCACACUGCUAACUUGAGACGAAAUAGAUAUUAGGUCACAAUCCAGUUAGAGUCAAUAAGCAAAUGGAAGUUGAAUAUGACCAAAGCAAAGACAACCUUUUGAAUUAUUCUAACAUGCCAAGAUACUUCUCUAAAUUUCUUUAGAAUUUCUGGCAGUCCAUACAACAAAGCAAUUGUGGCUUAAUCAAUAUGUGAAAAUAAACAGUGGAUAUAAAAUUUAAGUCAAAUAUUUAGAAUGAGGAGAGAUUUUGAAUGUCAGUGAUGUUUCCUUAAAGAUGCCACAAUAAGGUUUCAGCAAAUUUUAUCUGGAUGGAACUUCACUGCAAAUAUGUAGGAUUUGUUGCACAUAGAUGCCAUGGCAUAAUAACAUCUUCAUAAAUCAUCUGACAUUGACAUGGAAAACACAAUAUUUUCAUUUCACAUUUUUAAACUGGAUGUAGAGGGGAAAAGAAGCACAGCUGAGUACAAAAUUAAUAUGCUAUUAGCAAUUUAUCAAGAAGUGUUUGUGGAAGCUAGGUGCUUAGAUAAUGCAAUUCUCACUUAAGCAUAUUAAAAGAAAAAUAUCCAUCAAAUCUAGUUCUUUUUCUAUUUAGUUAGUGAGUUUGACUAUCAUGCGUUUGACAGUUGCUCAAAUUUUAGGGAAAUAAAUGAAUAUAAUUAUAUAAGUGUGCUGUGUGUGCAAUUGGUGCCUUGCAAUAAAUUAGCCAAUAUACUUUUCUCUCAUGCCUUUUUUCAUUCAUGUUCGAAAUUCUAACGUUCUAAGCAUAAAGGAACCAUGCGAACGCAUUCUGUGAAAAAACUAAUUCAUUCAGACCAACAUGAGAUCCAAAUCCAGCACUGCCAGAAUUCAUAUUAUAUAUUUGAAGCAGGUUGACCUUCUUGCUUCUCUCAUGGCACUAAUUUCCUAAAAUGGCGAUCUCAUUAUCACCUAUCCUAGCGAAACCAUUCAUCAGAGCUGCCACUAACGACAAAUUACGGAGGCAUAUUUUCAAAAUAUGUAUGUCUAGAGCCUUGGAAAUAGGGGCAUGGUUUGGUAAUACAUACAUGUAUAUACAUAAUGCUAAACAGAGGUAACACUUAAAGAAGAAGGAAGAAAAAAAGGUAGUCAUUGUAAGACUUCUGCAUUCCUGUAAUAAUUAUAGCUAAUACUAGUUUUUACAUCAGCAUAUUAAGGAUAUAUUUGAGAGGGGUGGAUGAUUAACUACCAGAUUCCCAAUCUUUACAUUGUCUGGAACACCUGGUAGAUUACCUCUGCUGGUUACUUCCUCAACAUAUAGUGAACUCAACCUGUAUAAUGUAUAGAGUUAGAGGAGAUUUGAGUUGAAGAGAUACACUAAGCUGACUAAGUUUCUUUUGUGGACUCCCUGUAACUGUUUUUGCUUCUCCAUUAUCGCAAGAAAUUAAGGUGUCCUCAAUGUACUCAUGCUCCAUAGCUGGUGUGGUAUUCAAACCAUGGCAAGCGUUUAUCCACUCUGCUUUCCCUAAUUCCUCAUGAUUUAAUCAAGACUGUGUUGUUUAUGUUUCAUUAAGACAUGCUAGCGUCCUGUUGCAAUCAACAUGAUUCACGAAGACUGUAUUGGCUUACCCCAGAGGAGUUUCCGUUGACAACUCUCAAUCUUAGGUUUGGUUCGGUUUCGACAAUUCCGAGCAGCCUCUCCAUACUAUCAUCAAAAGGUCUUCCUUUUAACAAAAUACUACUUUUUUUCUCUCAGGAUCUUGCUACAUUAUUGCCUCAAGAAACCGAUUUUACCCGUACUAGGGUUGCAAAUCACAGACUUUAAAAAAGUUUUCUUGUUUGCUUCCAGUAUGGUCAUGUUUACAAUCAAUUCUAUCAACUAAAUGAACCAAUGGAUUGAAACCCUAGAACACCCUAUUUCUUAUCCCAUUAAUAAAGAAAAAACGGAGCCAAAGAAAUUAUUCCACCACCCCCCCGGGAAUACUCGGGCAAGUCCAUGAACCCAUGUACGAAACAUACUCUAGAUCAUGGAGACAAACAAUCAAAGGAAAAGGAUUUUACGAAUUACGGAGAGCUGAUUCUAGGGUUUUGGAAGCGAAAAACGAACAGAUUUUAGGAAAAGAGAUAGGUAAGAGAGGUAAGAAAGAGAUUACGUGAAGUUUUCCGCGAAGCUCUCGAUCGGAGCGGAGCUUGACAUAAAUGCGCUCGUCGAGGCUGAGCCUGAUGAGGUCCAGCGGCUCCUUCACGGCGCUCUCUUCUUCGCUCGCCAUCUCUCUCUAUCUCCCGCUCGGCUCGCCGUGUGCCGGGGGAGGUGGAGGGAGAGUUUUAAUCUAACGGGAGGCAUAUAAUUGUAAUCAAGCUACACAGCUUCUCCGACUUCCAUUUGGAUCCGAAUUUAAAAAAAAAAAAACA